UUUCUCUUCCAAGCCUUCUUAUAGCUUCAGAUGCAUCUCUUCCAAGCAAAAGGUCCAAACUACCCUUAAUGAGCAGAAUCGGUUCACAAAGCAAAAAUUAGGUUUUCCAAGCUGCGUCCAAUCAACACGGUCGUGUGUCACCACACGGGUGGCCGUGUUGUUCUCCAUAAUUAAUUAUUUUCAGCACAAGCUACAGAGGCAACAA
rnacentral:lncRNA from 1 species